rnacentral:rRNA from 1 species
GACGAACGCUGGCGGCGUGCUUAACACAUGCAAGUCGAACGGAAAGGCCCUGCUUUUGUGGGGUGCUCGAGUGGCGAACGGGUGAGUAACACGUGAGUAACCUGCCCUUGACUUUGGGAUAACUUCAGGAAACUGGGGAUAAUACCGGAUAGGAGCUCCUGCUGCAUGGUGGGGGCUGGAAAGUUUCGGCGGUUGGGGAUGGACUCGCGGCUUAUCAGCUUGUUGGUGGGGUAGUGGCUCACCAAGGCUUUGACGGGUAGCCGGCCUGAGAGGGUGACCGGCCACAUUGGGACUGAGAUACGGCCCAGACUCCUACGGGAGGCAGCAGGGGGGAAUAUUGCACAAUGGGCGGAAGCCUGAUGCAGCAACGCCGCGUGCGGGAUGACGGCCUUCGGGUUGUAAACCGCUUUCGCCUGUGACGAAGCGUGAGUGACGGUAAUGGGUAAAGAAGCACCGGCUAACUACGUG